rnacentral:rRNA from 1 species
UACGUAGGGUGCAAGCGUUGUCCGGAAUUAUUGGGCGUAAAGAGCUCGUAGGCGGUUCGUCGCGUCGGCUGUGAAAACCUGAGGCUCAACCUCCAGCCUGCAGUGGGUACGGGCAGACUAGAGUGCGGGUAGGGGAGAUUGGAAUUCCUGGUGUAGCGGUGGAAUGCGCAGAUAUCAGGAGGAACACCGAUGGCGAAGGCAGAUCUCUGGGCCGUAACUGACGCUGAGGAGCGAAAGCAUGGGGAGCGAACAGG